rnacentral:rRNA from 1 species
UACGUAGGGUGCGAGCGUUGUCCGGAAUUAUUGGGCGUAAAGGGCUCGUAGGCGGCCAACUAAGUCCGACGUGAAAUCCCCAGGCUUAACCUGGGAACUGCGUCGGAUACUGGAUGGCUUGAAUCCGGGAGAGGGAUGCGGAAUUCCAGGUGUAGCGGUGAAAUGCGUAGAUAUCUGGAGGAACACCGGUGGCGAAGGCGGCAUCCUGGACCGGCAUUGACGCUGAGGAGCGAAAGCCAGGGGAGCAAACGGG